UCGUCGUCGUCUUCGAUUUCAACUUCUUCUCGCCGGGAAAUUUCAAAACGUCGUUCAACAGUCAAAUCAAUCUUACAUUCUCCGACGUGUUCUCUCACUCUAAUGUGAGAACCUCUUUCUUUGGGAGAUGGUCCAAAGUACAAAAACUGUCCCCUCCACCUUUGCCAUGUCCCUAAUGGUAUUAUAUGUGGAAGGAGGUCCAAGAUGGAGAACCACAUAGUUGCAGCAACCUAUGAUACGCCUUUCAGUUUCAGACCAUUAACCGGCAUAUCUUACCUUCUGCAUUCUGUUCACCCACGGAAAGACACCAGAUAAAGGUCUUAUGUCACGUUACAUCACAGCCAGGACAUGGCAAAUACAAGAUCAGUCCAGUGGUGGAACCGGCACAGUAGCUACAGCGUCACCUCUCACUUUCAAAGGCAGCAAUCUUCAGGAUUCUCAUUCUCAGAAGCUACACACUUGCUUUCAUUCACAGCUACUUGCCAUCGUUCUCAGCGCUUAUUCAGUUUGAAUCUGCCCAGUCUUUAUGUCAUCCACCCAUCUGAUAACACAUCUCAUCAACAUCACCACCAUUUCAUGAACCACCAACGAGCUCCACCAUAGCUUCUUUUGCCAAACUUCAAGGUCCCUAAACAGCCCUGUAGUUGGACAUAACUUGGACCCUUAUUGUUGAAGUCCAAUAUGAUGAUCUAUUGCGACAUAUUGCUAUUGUUUGGUUCUCUUUUCUUAUUUUGAUUUGUAAGUUUGUAACCAGAAGUUGUGCCAACAACAAGAUACAAAUCCAAACCCAUUUGUCACUAUACUUUAAUGUCAUUUGAUUUACUCCACCGAACAAUGUAAGUGCUAUUUGUUGAAGACUUUUUCGGACC